UACAGAGGUCCCAAGCGUUGUUCGGGUUCACUGGGCGUAAAGGGUGCGUAGGUGGCGAGGUAAGUCGGAUGUGAAAGCUCGGAGCUCAACUCCGAAAUGGCAUUGGAAACUACCUUGCUCGAGGGUUGGAGGGGGGACUGGAAUGCUUGGUGUAGCAGUGAAAUGCGUAGAUAUCGUAAGGAAGACCAGUGGCGAAGGCGGGUCUCUGGACAGUUCCUGACGCUGAGGCACGAAGGCCAGGGGAGCAAACGGG
rnacentral:rRNA from 1 species